CCUAGCUAACUAGCAUAUGCAGAAGUAGAAAUUUAAGGUACUUAUGGAAGAACUCGAGGGCACAAACUGAGGUGUCCAUGGAAUUUAGGUGCCUCCAUCUGAACAUGGAAUUUCAAAAUAUGCUAGCAACUACUGUUAUCAUUCUGGAUCUACUGGUUCGUUUCUACUUUACAGACUUCUGUGUCCAUUUAUCUUGCAUAUUCUACAGACUGCAAUAUUAAGCAAUGACUUAUUUUACUUCAGCUAUUUCCAUAUACCUGGUGCUUUGAUGGCCUAUAAUGGUUUACAGAGAUGACCAUAUAUUGAAUGCUCAGUCUGCCUUUGUCCCCUUGAGCAUAUCUUAUGUGAAAAACCACCCAAUAUUUGAAGAUUUAUGUAAUUACAAAUUAUGAGAAGAUGGAUAAAGUGGAAAUUCGAUGAACUUUGAAUCUCUGUGUAUUUCUGUUCUGCCAUACUUUGCUUAGAGAGCUUGUGUUUAGUAGAUUUUGGUAUAUUUUGAGCUUUAGAAGGUAGGCACAAUAAAAAUAAGUAUGAAUAAGGAUUACAAUAAAAUAUAAUGGAUAAUCCAUGGACUAUUGAUUCUACACAUAUUAACUGCUCAUGACCUGCAUAGAGGCCAAUCUGGGACCAUUUAACACAUGUUCAUUGGCAGGAUGGAUUAUAGCAGCUGGAAACUAUUAAAGAGUCAAAACUGACAAUGGUCAAAUAUUCAUUGCAAGCAAUCCCUUCUGUUUCUCUAUGGACCCUUCUGAACAUGUUGGAUUCAGAUCCAUUGAGGACAAUUGGAGAAGAUAGAACUACCCUCUUUCAAAAUAGCUUCUUUGUGGAAUUAUCCCCAGUAAAACAGAGAUAUUCUGCUUCUGUUAAAUAUGAAACUUAAUUUUGAAAAUAAAAAGUGAUUUUGUUCUCCUUUUUUAUUCUAUUUCCCCCUGUUUAUGAUAUUUGCUUGCCAUUUCCCUUUUUAGUACUCCAUCACUUGGUUUGUUUCAGUCUUUUAAAAUAUUUGUAGGCUUUUCAGGAUAGAAAUAAUUAUUUUCUUCAUGUUUAACUGUUACAUAGUUUGUAUUUUGAUAAACAAAUAAUAAAUUAUCAGUAUAACAAUAUAAAUUGUAGCUGUGUGGAAGAUCAGCAUCUGGCCCAUAAUGUUAUUUAGGUGAUUGGUUUCGUUGGUGUUUUCCUCAAGAUAACAAGCAUUUUAAAGUCAUUAAGCCGUUCCUCCUCUGCUAUCUAACCCAUUUUAUUUAUGAUAGUUACAUUUGUGCUACUUCAGAUACAAAUUUGCAAUCACGACCUAAAAACUCAUUAUUGUGCAAUUGUUCCCAUGUGGUUUCUUUGUUUGCAUAUUGUAAUUAUGGAUAGCAUUAAUUGUUCACAAAACUACAUUUGAUAAUUAUAUUUAUUUUCCUAUAUUUCAAAUGUCUAUUACAUAUUUUACAUUUACGCAGUAUAAUCUUGUUUUAUUAUGGUAUCUCAGUGGAUUAAUUGUUUUUUAGUGCUAUACAAUGUAUACAUAAAAUAAUGUGUUUGAAUAUAUGAUUGGAUGGAAGGCACAAACUGAAAUUGGUCCUAAUGCUAGGCAAAUCUGUCAGAUUAAAAAAAUACA